rnacentral:rRNA from 1 species
CCUACGGGAGGCAGCAGUGGGGGAUAUUGCACAAUGGGGGCAACCCUGAUGCAGCGACGCCGCGUGUGGGAAGACGGUCCUCUGGUUUGUAAACCACUGUCCCCAGGGACGAAGAUGACGGUUCCUGGGGAGGUAGCCCCGGCAAACUACGUGCCAGCAACCGCGGUAAUACGUAGGGUGCCAGCGUUGUGCGGAAUUACUGGGUGAAAGGGGAGCGUAGGCGGGGAUGCAAGUUGGGUGUAAAAACUACCGGCUCAACUGGUAGUCGCACUCAAAACUGCAGCUCUUGAGUGAAGUAGAGGCAGGCGGAAUUCCUAGUGUAGCGGUGAAAUGCGUAGAUAUUAGGAGGAACACCAGUGGCGAAGGCGGCCCGCUGGGCUUUUACUGACGCUGAGGCUCGAAAGUGUGGGGAGCAAACAGGAUUAGAUACCCCUGUAGUC